ensembl:lncRNA
UGUUGGUGAGCCCAGAUCAUGCAGCUAAUACUUAAAACUCAAGGUCAGUUGAUUUGCCAGCAUGUAUUAAUCCACACUGUACUUUUGAUUCUGGUACAUUUCACCGUACUAUUCGUUUACAAGUCCAGAUAAAUGUAUUUUAUUAGAAUUGUACCUGUAGCCAGUGUGCGUUGACUUACUGAUUGCAUGUCGUCUGUCUGUCUCUAGAUGGGGGGGUGUGUGUGUGUGUUUCACCUUUCCUUGGAUCAUGGUGAUUGAGCACUUUGUCGUUAGAACUGAGGUUAAAUGCAAAGUAACUCCAACUGUCCUCCCUUUGCAUCUCAGCAUGUGAGACUAUUUAGGCAAAUCUUACUUGUCUCCUAGUUUUGUUAGCAAAGGAAAUGUAAGAAACUUGAGUGGCAAUUUAUACUCAACUGUAUGUUACAGAAUCAACAUUGGUGGACACUUCAACUCAGACAAUGGGUUGGCUUCCUUUGUUGGAAAGGUUUGGUCCUCGAAGAGCUAAUAGAUCCAGCUCAAAUCUGAGGACUUAGGAAGUAAUUGGGAGACCCAUCUGCCUGGACUAUGUACCUUUUCAAUACUGGACUGAUACGAUACCAUAUCAUCAUGUUUCCAGAGAGUCCUUCUUAAGAUGCUAAUGCCGAGGGAUCCUGUUAUCUUAUUUGUCUUGCAUUAAAUAUAACUUAAGGAUUCUCUGGUGGCUCAGACAGUAAAGAAUCUUCCUGCAAUGCAGAAGACCCUGGUUUGAUACCUAGGUUGGAAAGAUCCCCUGGAAGAGGGCAUGAAAACCCACUCCAGUAUACUUGUCUGAAGAAUUCCAUGGACAGAGGAGCCUGGUGGGCUGCAGGGCAUGGGGUUGCAAAGAGUCGGACACGACUGAGCGACUAACACUUUCACACUUUUAAAUAUAACUUAGGAUCCACCAUCUCAGACUUUCAGGCUGUCCUUCCCUUCUCUGAGUCUCUGAAAUGUCACUAACAAAUUCAGAGGUCUGAUUUCCCUCUGCAAAGUGUUAGAGGGAAUUUAUAAAGCUCUUUAUAUCUUCACCUGCAGUAUCCUAUUGGAUGCUGACAACAACCCAAUAAUACCAAUGUGGUAUUAUUGUCCACAUUUUUACUGUUUUCUUUGUGCAAGGAGAACAUCUAAGCCAUGCUGAGCGAUAGAACCAGCAGUGAUGCUGCUUUCUCCCACAAACUGUUGUGAGGCUCAAGCCAAAGAUUUCUCCAUCUGAACCUUGCUGGAAUCAGCAAGAAGAAUGUAUGGGAAGGACUGGUCUCUGGGCCCAGUGCUUUCAGAACUGACAUGGAGAGAUAAUGAUGCCCAUAUUUUCUGCCCACUGUUGCUACCAUGAUUGUGUGGGGUCAGCAGUUGACGACAAAGAGAGGCAGAUAGAUCCAGUUAUCAAGGACAGACUUCUGUUGCUCACUGUGACAGAUCCUGCUGGCUGCUGACUUCCUGGUUCGUGCAGAACCACAUGCAGACAGAUAUUGAACAUAUGUUUCUAAAACAUUAUGCUUCAUUUCAUAAGGUGGGGCAGGUCAUGGUUUGUUACUUCCCCUCUUCACAAGGGGACGACAGGGGAUGAGAUGGUCAGAUGGCCUCAUCAACUCAAUGGACAUGAGUGUGAGCAAACUCUGGGAGAUGGAGAAGGACAGAGAAGCCUAGAGAGCUGCAGUCCUUGGGGUUGCAAAGUGUUGGGCACAACUGACAACUGAACAACAACAGUAACAGCUUCACAAAAAGGCGCUGCAGGCUCAGUGAGACACUAGUCUGGUAAAUUGGUUUGUGUCUUCGGUGAGCCUUCUCUGGAGCAUACGCUAGAAGAUGCUCGUGUUAGUCAUUGUAAGAAAUAGGCUUAGCACUUCAUAAACUCUAGGAAAGACUGUUUUCUUUUCUAAACAUUUAAAUUACUCAGCCAUUUUAUGCGUUAAAUCCUAAUUAUGACUUAGUAUGUUGGAGAAUUUCAAAAGCUAUUCCCUAUAGAAUCUGUGACUAAGAUUUUCUUAUUCAGUAGUUCGUAUGCUCUCUAAUCCAGGCUUUGUGAAAAAGUAAGAAGAAUAAUCAUAAAUGUAGAAGGAGAAGAAGUUUUAAACAGAGAGAGGCACUUGACAGGACAUUGGGCCUUUCUCCCCGAUACGGCAGUUCUUGAGGAAUGCAGGCGCUUGGAGGGUUGGGAAGAAUAUAUAGUUUUCUAGCUUUUCUGGACUCUGUUCCCUUGCUGGAUGUGCAUGUAGUUUUAUUAAAAGAAAAUAAUUUAAAAAAAGGAUAAAUAAAAGAAACAUCUGAUAGUCAGAAACUUAGCUCCAAGCCCUAUAAGGGCUCUGGCUAGGUGUGUGUUAUAAAGGGCAUAUAUGGAACAGACUUAUCUUUCAUUGUAACAGAGGGCAGUUGGGCAGUUGAUCAGAAGCAAAAGUUAUGAAUAUUAUUCUAACGCUUUUUGCACUAUAUAUAAAAAUCAUAGGCCAGUAGAAGUUUUGGAUUUCCCUGAAAUUUUUCUUUUAGUCUAACACCUUGAAUCCUGUAAAGACAACUUAUAUUCCCGCCAGAAAGCUGAUGGCUCUAACACUCUACAAGAGAAGAUAAGUCUGUUGAAUUAGGAACCCUAACAGCUGGGAAGAACUGGAAUUCAAGUUGUUGGUCAGUCUAGAAAGGCAAAUGGGAAUAAGGUUAAGUUAUUUAAAUUUCUUGAAAAUAAUGUAUUUUCUUUUGAGUUUUUCCUCCUGGCACUAAAGCAAAGCUAAAUUCAAGCAACAACUAAAGUAAGACUAGGAAAUUCCAAAGGGUAAUACACAGAACAACUCUCUAGCAUCUAGAAUGCCAUCUCAAUAUUAACAUUUCUAAAAAUCACCGUUUCUUUCCAGACAUAAAGGAAGCAUUUUCUUUCCAGACAUAAAGGAAGCAACACAAUAAAUCUAUUGCCACUAUUUGGGAAGAUUUUUAUAACCUUAUAUGCAAUGCUGUGGAGAAGGCAAUGGCAACCCACUCCAGUACUCUUGCCUGGAGAAUCCCACGGGCAGAGGAGCCUGGUAGGCUACAGUCCAUGGGGUCACAAACAGUUGGACACAACUGAGUGACUUCACUUUCAGUUUUUGCUUCCAUGCAUUGGGAAAGGAAAUGGCAACCCAGUCCAGUGUUCUUGUCUGCAGAAUCCCAGGGACAGAGGAGCCUGGUGGGCUGCCGUCUAUGGUGUCACACAGAGUCAGACACGACUGAAGCGACUUAGCAGCAGCAGCAGCAUACAAUGCUGACUUCCCUGGUGGUUCAGUGGUAAAGCACCUCCCUGCCAAUGCAGGAGGCUUGGGUUCAAUCCCUGCAUUGUGAAGAUCCCCCAGAAAAGGCAAGAGUACUGGAGUGGGGUGCCAUUGCCUUCUCCACAGUGACUUUUAAGGUUGCAGUAUAUACCUUAACCUGGGCACAGGAUAUACCUACAUCUGAGUUGAAAUUCAGUAUCAACUAAUGUCAUUGUCAUAUAAUUCUAAAAUAUGCAGAUCCAUCUUGAUUGAAAGAGUAAGAUGGUCUGAUUUUGAGAUCCUGAGAUUUAUCAUGCCAGCAUUUCUAAAAGGUAAGGGUGGAUUAUGCCAGAGUUCCAAUUCCCAUCCUGCUCAGCCAGGUGGAAAGUGAAAGUGUUAGUCACUCAGUCAUAUCUGACUCUUUAUGACCCCGUGGACUGUAGUUCACCAGGCUCCUCUGCUC